GAGCGGAUGGCCGAGUGGUUAAGGCGAUUGACUGCUAAUCAAUUGGGUUUACCCGCAUGAGUUCGAAUCUCAUUUCGCUCG
rfam:Hypsibius dujardini strain Z151 scaffold0010, whole genome shotgun sequence.